ACUAACAAUUUCUCCGAGUGCCGGCGGAGCCCAGGAGCGCUGGAAUCCAGCGUCUGGGAGAGGCUUGGGGAGCUCUUCCUCGGCUUCUGCAGCCGCAAAGUAGGGUUGCCAGCGCCAGGAUCUGCACACAAGCCGCCGCCACCUCCCCUGCCCCCAAAUGGCUGGGGUACGGAGGGAAAGGAGGACGCGAGGGUGUGCCACCCAACCCCGCAGAGUGAAGCCGAGGCCCCAAGGACCGUCGAGGAAAUCGCGGCUGGGCCGGCCAGAUCCGACGCACGGAAUGCGAUCUCCAGGUUCUCAUCGUGUUCCCGGCUCGGUGCUCGGCGUUCAAGGGGGUGGGGAGGAUCGAAAAGCUGCCCCUCGAGGCUGCUCCGCCGCCGGGGAAGCCCGUGGCUCAGGCUUCACGCGUCAGGCGCUCUCUCGGAGUCCAGCCGAGCCGGGCCCGGGCGCGCAACCCGCGGCGCUCCGCUCUCAGCCGGGGACGUGGCUCUCCGUCUCCCGCCCGCGCCGGGACAGCCCCGAAGGCUACCCGCCCGAAACUCCCGAAGAAAGUUGCGCCGCGCGCCCCAGCUCGUCCCUUGCGCGCCCCUCCACUUACCGCUCCCAGCCGAGGCUUCGUUCUCUCCGGCGUCGCCUCCGCAGCCUCCAGAGCCAGCUCCCGGUCCUCCUCACUCCAGGGCGCCCGGGCUCCCGGCCCCCUCCGAACCGAGCCCUCCGCGCCCCCGCCGCGCCAUGCCCCGGGAUGCGCUGCUGCAGCCUCGGGCGACGCUACUGAGAGCCGGGCCGGCGGGGGCGGGUAGGUGUGGGCGAAAGGGGCGGAGGGAGGGACGCGGCGGGCGCUGAGGCUCCGCUGGAGGGGGGAGGAAACCGCAACGUCACCAGAGCCAGAGGAGACGAGGAUGAGGAGAGGGAAACGGGGACCCCCUCCCCCGGCCGAACCCCGACCGCAGGCCCGCCCCGCUUUCUCCCGCUCCUCCUCUCCCGGGACUCGCCGCUCGCAGCUGUGCUCGGCCUUCCACGCCACCCGGCCCGGACUCCACCCGCACCCCCGCCCGCCAGGCCUCUUUGGCUCUAACUUGUUCUAGUUUCUUAGGACUCAAACGCUUCGGGUUCGAGAAUCACACCCAAAGGAAAGGUAACUUUUGGAGGCCCAGGGGGAGGAGCUGAUGCUUCCAUACUACUCUGCGAGAGGAAAGCGAGGAAGACGUUAAGACUCUUACUACCGGGACUGGUGCCCACUCCAGUCUGCCUCCUCCCGAAUAGUUACUGCCUCUUUUCUCUCGAAUUCGGUUUUACUCUCUUCUCAAAGAGAAGUUAGUGGGAGGGGGGACUUUGGGGCGGGGGUCACCUAUAGAGAAGCAGUUCUCUUUUUUACUGUACCAACAAAAUACACUAAAUCCAAGCGCACCGAACCCUGCAAACGGAACAGAUUUUAAUCACAGAAGGUCAGGAGCAAAGCAUUUAAUGUAGGCAGCUCACAAACAGAAAUUUAUCUUACGCGGUGGGGGGGUGUGUGUGUGUGAGAGAGAGAGAUCCCUCAUGCACCCAAGUUCAGGUGGAGCAUUUGCAACCUUGGUAGUCACAGCCUCCUGGAGAAGAGUCCUCCUGUUUUCCAAAAAUCAGCCACUGCUCAAACACGCUCAGCCAGGUCCAACCAGGCCCCAAGGAGAUGUGAGGUAGGAUCAGGGCCAUCACCUCAGGAAUACUUUGCCCCUUCCACCUCCACCCAGUGUGUGCAAGUAACCUACCAGACCUAGAUUGUACAGAAGUGAAAGAUUUGUAGGAUACUUACCCAUUCAUUAGAAUGAGAGAUAUUUUACUGGGAGCAGUGCUUUUCUCCAUGAGUUCUGAAGGGCACCUCCAUCCAAUUCCUCUAUCCUCAGAGGUUCUCACUUCUAUUUGGCCAAAUAAGGAAAAAAUGUGGAUGUCUCAGUUUAUGCUUCUCUUUUUCAGAAAUUGCAUUUAAGAGGAACUCCUUACAAACAGGUCAAGAGGAAGUGGUACUAUUAAAUUUUUUAAAUGUUCACUCAGGUGAACCACUAAUUUGCAUAAACUUCUUGAUGCUUUAGGGAAGGCCUGUCGAGGAGAGAAGAGGGCUCUGGAAACUGGAACUAAUCUUUGGUUCAAAUCCAAACUUUGCUUUUACUACUGUGGGCCUUGGAAAACUAACAUCAGAACCUCAGUUUCCUCAUCUAUAGUGUAACAAUAUAAUACCUUGUUUGAACAGUUAUGGAGAGGAUAUAAUAAAAAUAGCUAAUGUUUAUUGAGAGUUUACUACACCAUAUCAGACGGUCACUGUGCUAAGAGAUUUACAUAUACUAAUUCAAUUAUUAGAAUAAAUUGUGAAAGUGUCUAGCUGUAUUAUGUAAUCCGUAAGUGUUAAUUUCCAUUUAUCUUCUCAAAUUUGAAAGAGACUUUAGAAAAAACAUCUGGUUUAAUUUACGUAACCUCUCAGCAAGUAGUAGUCUAGUUCAGUGAUUCUCCAACCUAGAACUUUAGAAUCAGCAGGGGAGCUAUAAUAAAUUCUUUCCAAUGGGGACCCCCACGCAAGAACAACAAAUCAGAAUCUCUGAGGUUAGGGUCUAAGCAUCAGCAUCUGCAUUUUAAAAUCUCUUCCUAGAUGAUCACAAUGUACAACCAGGAUUGAGAAUUCUUCAAAGGAGGUAGUACUGACUGUCAUUUGCUCCCCUUUACCCUCACACCCCCCACAAUUUUGCUUUUGAGUGACCUGCGAAUUGGCCUCUGGAUGACAUUCACUUUGUGCAAAGCCCCCCCCGUCCCCCCGCCCCCGCCCACCCCAUUACAGUAAGUCUCAACAGAUCUGCUAUUCUGCUCUCUGGAAUCUACAGGAUACACCUAGCCUUGAUUCCACAGGAGAAUACUUCAAUUUACCUGGGUACAUAUUAACUCCAUCAGCUUUUCUUCAUCCAUUAGGAAAGCUCUCAGGAGGAGAUUUACUUUGCCAACAUCUCUCUCAAACCCUGAUGCCAAGAAUUGAAUUCAAGGUUUCACCCAAGUGACAAACUAGAAAGAUGUUUAAUGGCUUUGUUGUAAUUACUGUAUUUCCCUAAGUAUAUCCUUGGAGCUUCCAUGGCAGCAAUAUUACCCAGCUGACUCCAUAUUACAAUCUACCAAAUAAAACCUUAAAGUGUUAAAAGUUUAGUUGGAGAAUCACUGAACUAAACAACUACACUCAAUGCAGUGUUCAGCACUUUACCUGUGAUUCUACUGAAUUUUAUUGUGUUAAAUUAGGCCUCUUAGCUUGUUGACAUAUUGGGUAUCAUUGAUAUAACUGAGUAAUUCCACCUCUCAAUUUCAUGACCUCUGUAAAUCCGGUCUGUAUGCCAUGCCAUCAUUUAAGUUCUCAUUCUCAGGUACCUUCCUCUGCCAACCGACACUGGAUUUGAAUGCUACUGAUGAACAUUCUUAUCAGUUGAGGACCCACAUGUUACCUUGUCCUAUUUUUGUCUGUUGUCCCAGGGUAGCAGCCUGUGUACAUGGGUACGUGGCACUUUUGUAAGAAUUAGAAAAAGGUAUCCCCACUCUCACCUUAGCUGAAGGAUUAGGAAAAAGUGACCCCUUACGCCUAGAUGCAGCUCCAAACAGACAGCAGAUGAGCUUUGUCUAUUGGAUGUCUUUGCUCUACUGUAAUAUUGUCAAAAAACAAAGGAAAUGACUACUUAGUGAAUUGUGGUUCAUGUCUACAAAAUUGUGUCUUCCUUUUCUAAGUAUCCAGAUGUCAUUUUAAUAAUAGGUUUAUUCAUUUUGUUCAGUAUCUGUGAAAAGUUUCUUGCCUCGGUUUCAGACUAAGGCAAAAACUGGAACUCCAUCUGUCCACCUCCAGUUUUUUAGUGUUCAUCUCCCUCUGCUGAUUCUAGCUGAGAGUCCUUAUUGGUAAACUCUCCUUGCUGAGAUGGAAAUUUACUAGGCAAGAAGAAGUUAAGCUUUAGACAGCUAGGACAUAUUUUCUUACAAGCUUCUUCACCUAUCUUUUCAGUUAACUCUUUGAAAGCUUAUUUUAUCCCUUACAUUUAAUGGUUUAUUUUUACAUAAUAGAGAAGACAAAAAAAAGGGAAUUAGUUUUGUUUAGUCAUCCAUUUUAUCUCAAGCAGAGGCAUCCCUUCCAUGUUCUUCUUGUCUGAACAAAACAAAAUGUUAUUUUUUGUUGUUGUCGUCCUUAGUUUAUUCUUGGCUUUAGCCUAAAAUAACAGAGUAACAAUAUUACAGGGCUGUUACAGGUAUGCGGCUUCUGUUCUCCUCUUGAGUUUAAUUCAUUAAACUAAAUUUUAAUCUGC